AGGGGUGUAGCUCAGUGGUAGAGUGCUUGCCUAGCAUGUGCAAGACUCUGGGUUCAAUCCCCAACACUGCCA
rfam:Ictidomys tridecemlineatus contig036556, whole genome shotgun sequence.